GCUAGCGUAGCUUAACUAGAGCAUAACACUGAAGAUGUUAAGAUGAGCCUUAGACAGCUCCGCAGGCA
rnacentral:tRNA from 1 species